GUAUUAUAUUUGAGUUUUCACAUAAUGAGACUCUUAAUCUCAAGGCUGUGGGUUCAAUCCCCACGUUGGACA